rnacentral:rRNA from 1 species
GACGUAGGGGGCGAGCGUUGUCCGGAUUCAUUGGGCGUAAAGCGCACGUAGGCGGAUUGUUAAGUCAGGGGUGAAAUCCUGGAGCUCAACUCCAGAACUGCCUUUGAUACUGGCGAUCUCGAGUCCGGGAGAGGUGAGUGGAACUGCGAGUGUAGAGGUGAAAUUCGUAGAUAUUCGCAAGAACACCAGUGGCGAAGGCGGCUCACUGGCCCGGUACUGACGCUGAGGUGCGAAAGCGUGGGGAGCAAACAGG